rnacentral:rRNA from 1 species
GAUGAACGCUGGCGGCGUGCCUAAUACAUGCAAGUCGAACGAGGUGCUUUUGUAGCAAUACGAGAGUAUCCUAGUGGCGAACGGGUGAGUAACGCGUUGGUGACCUACCCCAAAGUGUGGGAUAACAGUCCGAAAGGAUUGCUAAUACCGCAUGUGGUCUUCGGAUUUAGAAACUGAUGACUAAAGGAGCAAUUCGCUUUGGGAGGGACCUGCGUCCCAUCAGCUAGUUGGUGAGGUAAUGGCUCACCAAGGCUACGACGGGUAGGGGACCUGAGAGGGUGACCCCCCACAAUGGAACUGAAACACGGUCCAAUACACCUACGGGUGGCAGCAGUAGGGAAUAUUGCACAAUGGGCGAAAGCCUGAUGCAGCAACGCCGCGUGUGCGAUGAAGGCCUUCGGGUCGUAAAGCACUUUUCUGGGAGAUGAGCAAGGACAGUAUCUCAGGAA